rnacentral:rRNA from 1 species
GAUGAACGCUGGCGGCGUGCCUAAUACAUGCAAGUCGAGCGAACAGAUGAGGAGCUUGCUCCUCUGACGUUAGCGUCGGACGGGUGAGUAACACGUGGAUAACCUACCUAUAAGACUGGGAUAACUUCGGGAAACCGGAGCUAAUACCGGAUAAUAUAUUGAACCGCAUGGUUCAAUAAUGAAAGACGGUUUUGCUGUCACUUAUAGAUGGAUCCGCGCCGCAUUAGCUAGUUGGUAAGGUAACGGCUUACCAAGGCAACGAUGCGUAGCCGACCUGAGAGGGUGAUCGGCCACACUGGAACUGAGACACGGUCCAGACUCCUACGGGAGGCAGCAGUAGGGAAUCUUCCGCAAUGGGCGAAAGCCUGACGGAGCAACGCCGCGUGAGUGAUGAAGGUCUUCGGAUCGUAAAACUCUGUUAUUAGGGAAGAACAAAUGUGUAAGUAACUAUGCACGUCUUGACGGUACCUAAUCAGAAAGCCACGGCUAACUACGUG